CUCCGUUUACCGGGCUCUGUUCGCACGUGGCACUCUCGGUGCCUCUGCCUGUCUUGGGGUGAGCGCGUGCAUCAUGAACGCGGUGGAUGAGCUGAACCUGCUGCUGGGCAUUGGCCCGUCACGACCCCAGCUGCCCCUCACACUUCGCAAAUCCGGUUACGUACCGGUGCGCUCCCUGGGCAAAGGAAGCUUCGGCCAAGCCCUUCUUGUGUUCCAUGAGCCGCAGCAGCAGUACUUCGUCGUCAAGCACCUAAACCUGGCGUCUAUGUCCUCUCGCCAGCGGCACGAUGCACAUAAUGAGAUCAAUAUCCUGCAGAAGUUGCACCACCCUAAUAUCGUGCGCUACGUCGAGUACUACGAGGAGCACCCGCACCUAUAUAUCGUCAUGGAGUACGCCGACGGCGGCGACGUCUACUCCUUGUUGAGCAGCGCGCAGACGGAGCGGAGGCUGGGGGCGACCGGCGGGUACGGAGGCGGCAGCGCCUCCUCCGUCAGACCGCCGGGGCCGUCGCCAUCCUCUGCCGCUACUGCAGGGCUCUUGUCAGAGGCGCAGGUCGUCAACCUCUUCGUGCAGACCACAAUGGCGGUGAAGUACAUGCACGACCGUCGUCUGCUGCACCGCGACAUCAAGUCGUCCAACAUCUUUCUCACCAAGAACCACGUCGUCAAGCUCGGCGACUUUGGCAUCAGCACCGUCCUACAGAGCACGGUGGCCAUGGCGAGCACCAUGUGCGGGACGCCUUGCUACUUCUCUCCUGAGCUGUGCCAGGGUCGCCCAUACAACAGCAAGAGCGAUAUGUGGGCGCUUGGCGUGCUGCUGUACGAGUUGUGUGCAGGCCACGUCCCGUUUGAGUCCACAACAAUGAAGGCGUUGAUGCGGGACAUUGUGCACAAGCAGCCGCCCCGCAUCCCAGCCGUCUACUCGCAGGAGCUGUGGGAGCUGAUUGUGCAGCUGCUGCAGAAGGACGCGCGGCGGCGACCCGACGCGGGUCAGGUGCUCAUGUCGCCAGUGCUGAUGAAGCACGUGCCGGACCUGAUCAACCAGCUCGCCGAUGACACAACCAACGACGGUAAUUCUGCCCCGGGCGGUGCCAGCGGCGCUUGUGGAGGUGAGGCACCUCGUGCUUCUGCUGCUACUCCGCCACCCCCACCGCCACGACAAGCGCAGCAGGCCUUGCCGUCCCCUAUAAAAGCCGGUGGUGGCGGUGUUGCGAGUUGCGCACCGACCGCCGCUGCUGCCGCUGCUGCCGCUGCUGCCCUCCCUCUGUCAUCGUCCCCGGCGUCGCCUUCACAGGCGCGAACCGCGGGAAAGCAGGUACCAUCACCACCAUUACAAGCGCAGCCGAAACGGCACCCCUCACGCGGCGGUGGUGAGGCCGGCGCCUUCUCCAUCGAGGAGCUGGUCGCUCGCUUCGAUGCACAGAAGCAGCAAAUUGCAGAGGCGAAGAGACGCAAGUCUGGUGUUCAAGCGGAGCCGCAUGGCACAGGCGGCGUACCCCACGCGUCUGGCGCCGAUGAGCGACCGCGUCUCUCGCCAGGUGCAGCUGCCGCCCUUCGACAGCAGGGACUCAAGGGGAGUAAUGCCGGGGGUGGAGGCAGGGAGGCGCCCACGCGACACUCGGCGGGUGGUGCAUCCCCGGGUGCGGCAGCUGCCGCGCCUUCGCGGGCGGCCUUCAUGCCACCACCGCUCCCAGCGGCGCUCCGCGAUGCAGGCGCCGUCGACCAGCGCCGCCCCGUAGAGCUGCCCACCAACCCGUCGCCUCUCUCCCGACAGCGCGACAGCGCGGCCGCCGAGCAGGCGCCCAAUUCCGGAAACGCCGAUGCGGCGCGGCAAGCCCGCGGUGACCAUUUGAGCGCGCCAGGAGUACGUGGCCAACCGUAUCAGGCGCCUCCACGGCGGCGGCACAUCGGUGGCCAGAUCGACGAGAAUUCUGCGCCGCCAUCGUCCGCUCGCGGCGCGGCGCCAGCAUUAGACGAGCUGAGCGCGGUGCUGUCGGAGCUGUCCUCCUGGCGAGAGCGCAGUGUUCUGCGGCAACAGCGUCAGGGCGGCCACCGCGCACACCGAUACGACACAAGUUGCAAGACCAGCGUCGUGCCAAAACCACAGCAUGUCGGCGCAAAGGCGGACGCCCACGUUCCCUCUCCGCAACCGCCGACGUCGCCGUCUGCGCCCGCCACGCCGCGCCAUCAGCUGAGUAAGUAUGCAGAGCAGGCAGGUGCCCAUCGGCCGGGGGUGGCGGAGGGCGCACCGACCCACGAACCCAACGGCAACGCCGCAUCCCAAGGAAAGCCGCUGCGUGAUGGAGGCCGUGGCACAAAGGCUGGCGAGGCGCGUGCAGCCGAAGUAGAAGUGCAGCGCAUGAGGGUCGCUUUCGCCUCUCCGGCGGCCAACAGGCGCGGCAGCGAUGGCGACGACACGGACGGUGAUGAAAGCGUCACGCAGAGUUUUGUCGAUGCGCUGGGCACUGCGCUGGACGUCGAUGCCGUACAGGCCGCCUCUGCCGCAGCGCAGCAACAGCAGCAGCAACGUCUGUCGCCACCACCUUCACCGGCCGAGGCUGGCAGCGCUUCAUGCCUCUCAGGGCGGGUACCAUUCCUGCAACAGUCUAUGAAGAAAACCUUCCAUGUCACGAGCGAGAAGAUCGAUGCCCUGCAGCCCACGUUGAUGGCCGGCACGGUGUUCCGCCAUCUCCCUUCAACGGCGCUGCUGGCUGGGACGAUGCGUGGCACCGACGCCGCUGCCUGCGUGGGGGAGGCCGAGGGCGUUGCCGACGUGCACUUCACGACGUCCUGCCUCUGCGGUCGUGCCGCGACUUCUCGCGGCUGCCUUUCCAUGAUCUACGGCAGUUUUGUGUGCUCUUGUGACGCCUGCGUCCGAUUCACAGGCUCCAUGCAUGGAGUGGAGUGGCUGCAUCUACCCGAAGUGGCCGAUGGGCUGCCGGCGCUGCUGCCCUCGCCCACGCCAUCGAAUGCACCGGGCGAGUGGUCGACGAAGGAGAGGCCCAGCGCAGGUGCCGGCGCCGCUGCUGCUGUUGCGCUGCGUGCCAAGGCUGAGGAGGCGCCGCUGCACCACAACAAGGGGGCAGAAGCAAAGUGGAAAGGCAGCAUGAAUGCCUGCUGCGCCCCACCGCCACCAGCGCAGUCUCCCGGCGUCUGGCCCCCGUCCCCGAGAGCGGGGAGCGGCGCACACGCGGGCGAUGAAGCCACAGCAGCACUUGGCGAGGCCAACGUCCGAGCCUACAGGCACUGCUUUCAAGCCGAAGCGCCGUUGCAGCUGGAGGAGGCGGCGCUGCGCCAACCUGCGCCUCAUACACGAGGGUCUACGCUCACAGGCGGCGCGGCGGCAACGAGGCAAAGUGCCCUGCAUGUCCUCUACACCUGCCUCACCUGCGGCUCCCUCAUCGGGAUGCAGCACGACGGCGUGGAGGGGCUUCUGCUGCCCAAGGUCACUCUUGAUGCGCAAAGCCUCGAAAUCCUGUCCUGGUGCGCGCAGACAGUCGACGUGGAGGCAGCGGAGCUGAUCAAGGUGGGCUGAGGGCCCCUCUCUGCCCUGCACCCGGACAAGCGAAGACGGGACAAAGAAGCGGCGAUGGAGGGCGGCGUACGCAGGAGGGUGCAUCGAAGUAGGAGACGAAUGAGGUAUAUACCCAACUUCGCCGCAUGGCGUCCUUGAUGCAUGCGUGCGUGCGUCCCGCGACUCCUCGGCACCUGCCAGUGCGCGUGUGUGUAUUCUCUUCGAAGACAUGCCUUGUUGCACACCCCCUCUCCCUCUCUUUCUCUUUCCAUGCCUCUCUCUAGUACUCCACUGCCGGCGAGAGGCAGACCUCCUCGUCCCCCCUCCCUUCCCUUCCUGCGACCGUGUGCGUGCCUCCCCCGCCUGCGCUCAUAAAUUCGCGCGGGAGGGAGAUGCACGCAGGAUUAGGGGCUGACGUCGACGCGUCUCUUCGCAUGUAUAGGCAUGCACAUGUGCGCUGAUCUUUCCCUCUCUUUUUCUUUUGGUAUUUCGCGCGAGAUAUUCUUCAUGUUCGCUUCACCGGUGCCCGCGAACACUUUUUUGCCGCGCGCGCACGUCCGAUCGACUCUCGCAAGCACCUGCCUCCUGCCAACAUCGCCACUAACAUCCGUCUCUCCUCCCUCGCCUUUCUUCUUCUAUGUUCCGUAUACACAACUCUGUCUCUCUGUCUCUGUGCGAGUUGGAGUGCUGGUCGCAUCCAUCCGACCUCACGCUGACUCUCUUCUCCACGCUUCGCCCCUCUCCCCUUCCCCCCUCUCCCUCGCCAUCACCGACAGACACGUCGGCACCGGUUCCCAUCCAUGUUCGACUUGCAUGGGGUUCGUAGAACUGCCUGCCCUCUCCCCUCUUCCUCUGUACGUCUUCGGCCGCGCAGACAGCGACCACUUACGCCCCAGACCCGACUUGUGCAUUGCGCGUUGGCUUCUCUCUGCCCCCCCCCCCUCUCUCUCUCUCUGCGUGUGCUUGCGUGUGUCUGUGUGUGCGUGCGUGUAUGCGUGCUCUUCUCUGCUCACUCGUCGUCACCAAACAUGUGGCGUCUGCGUCAUGACGAUGACACACAUCGUUGGAUUUGAAGGCAUCUUACCCCUCCCUCGUCGGCGUCGUCGUCUUUUGUUGCAUCCCUGUGCGCGCGUGCGCGUCGCUCGUAUCUUUUCGCAUCGACAUCAAUGCCCGUCUCUCUCCGUUUCCUUGCUUCCUUUGUGCGACCCGUUCGAUGCACGCAUUCCCAUGCACCACCACACACCGCCCACUUCCUCUCCCUUCUUCGCCCACCCGUUUCGAACCCAUGCAACGCUGCUCUCUCUCUCUCUCCCUCUCGCCCAUACCUCUUUUUGGGACCACAUACACACGUGCGGCCCCACUGCUGCAGCGGAGCAACACCUCUGUUGUGGAUGCUUGUGGCGUUGGGCGUCUGGUCCUCGUGCAUCAUGUCUGUAUAUUCGGCGAAGUCGUAUCUGCUCUUCUCUAUGUGCGUGUAGGGCGUGUGGGCCUUGCCCACAAGCGAGGGGGCUAGCGAGACGACGUUGUUAGUUUCCUUUUUCUCCACCAUGUAGAAGGGGAAGGGAAGGGCGGUGGGGGUGGAGUGGGUGAGGCGAGUCGAUACUGUUCGCCCUGUGAGUGCUUGCGAGCUUCUAUACGUCUUCUGUACACUCUUGCCAUCAUGUACCAUUCAUCAAAACGGGGGUUAUUGCAACAACGACAACGGCAUCAGCAGCACCCGCAGGGAAAGCAAGAAGGGAGGGAUCUCCCUUUCCUUCUUGUACGGAUGGAAGGCGCGUGCGCACACAUGCACACACGCACAGACACAGAGAGAGAGGGAAGGGCGCUGCACGCUUAUCGUUUCACGAGAGCUGAGCGGUGACGCGGUGAUGGGGAGAUGAGCGUGUGCCUGUGCGCUGUAGGGUUCUUGCGUUGCCCCGGCGCGCGCCCGCCUAACCGCUCUCCCCUCUUCCCUGCGCACGCAUCGGCAUGAUCGCCAUCAUUACAGCGAUCGAUGUAGAUGCUCCUCUCAGCAUUGCGACAGCGCUGUGCGCCAGAGCAACGUUCGGCAGAGCGCUCUCGCACCUGAUGUUUCUCUCCGGGAGGUUCUCUGCUGACCCUUCCUUCCUUUUCGUGCCUUCUCAAGCGCGCUGGCGCCGCCCUUUGCCGACGGCGGCGGCGGGGGGUGGGCGCUGAGCUCUUUCACGGCCUCCCCUCCCCUCGCACAAUGACCAGUUCUCGUGCGCCUGAUAGACAGGCCCACUUCUGCUGCGCCUGUUGUUGCUCUCCCUCGCAUCUUUUCCGCCUCCCCGCCUUCGCCGAACCGUCUUUCCGCUCCUGCUCUUCUUUUCCUCCAUGCACAUAUGCGGAUGCGAAG
rnacentral:misc_RNA from 1 species